rnacentral:rRNA from 1 species
GAGUUUGAUCCUGGCUCAGAUUGAACGCUGGCGGAAUGCUUUACACAUGCAAGUCGAGCGGCAGCGCGGGGCAACCUGGCGGCGAGCGGCGAACGGGUGAGUAAUGCAUCGGAACAUGUCCUGUCGUGGGGGAUAGCCCGGCGAAAGCCGGAUUAAUACCGCAUACGUCCGAGAGGAGAAAGUGGGGGACCGCAAGGCCUCACGCGAUUGGGUUGGCCGAUGUCCGAUUAGCUAGUUGGUGAGGUAAAGGCUCACCAAGGCGAUGAUCGGUAGCUGGUCUGAGAGGAUGAUCAGCCACACUGGGACUGAGACACGGCCCAGACUCCUACGGGAGGCAGCAGUGGGGAAUUUUGGACAAUGGGGGCAACCCUGAUCCAGCCAUUCCGCGUGAGUGAAGAAGGCCUUCGGUUGUAAG